rnacentral:rRNA from 1 species
GACGAACGCUGGCGGCGUGCUUAACACAUGCAAGUCGAACGGAAAGGCCCUGCUUUUGUGGGGUGCUCGAGUGGCGAACGGGUGAGUAACACGUGAGUAACCUGCCCUUGACUUUGGGAUAACUUCAGGAAACUGGGGCUAAUACCGGAUAGGAGCUCCUGCUGCAUGGUGGGGGUUGGAAAGUUUCGGCGGUUGGGGAUGGACUCGCGGCUUAUCAGCUUGUUGGUGGGGUAGUGGCUUACCAAGGCUUUGACGGGUAGCCGGCCUGAGAGGGGGACCGGCCACAUUGGGACUGAGAUACGGACCAGACUCCUACGGGAGGCAGCAGUGGGGAAUAUUGCACAAUGGGCGGAAGCCUGAUGCAGCAACGCCGCGUGCGGGAUGACGGCCUUCGGGUUGUAAACCGCUUUCGCCUGUGAUGAAGCGUGAGUGACGGUAAUGGGUAAAGAAGCACCGGCUAACUACGUG